rnacentral:rRNA from 1 species
CUGGCGGCAGGCCUAACACAUGCAAGUCGAGCGGUAGAGAGGUGCUUGCAUCUCUUGAGAGCGGCGGACGGGUGAGUAAUGCCUAGGAAUCUGCCUAGUGGUGGGGGAUAACGUUCGGAAACGGACGCUAAUACCGCAUACGUCCUACGGGAGAAAGCGGGAGAUCUUCGGACCUCGCGCCAUUAGAUGAGCCUAGGUCGGAUUAGCUAGUUGGUGAGGUAAUGGCUCACCAAGGCGACGAUCCGUAACUGGUCUGAGAGGAUGAUCAGUCACACUGGAACUGAGACACGGUCCAGACUCCUACGGGAGGCAGCAGUGGGGAAUAUUGGACAAUGGGCGAAAGCCUGAUCCAGCCAUGCCGCGUGUGUGAAGAAGGUCUUCGGAUUGUAAAGCACUUUAAGUUGGGAGGAAGGGUAGUAACCUAAUACGUUGCUACUUUGACGUUACCGACAGAAUAAGCACCGGCUAACUUCGUG